ACAGUCACACAUUAGAUACCCGGGUAGUCCCAGCCGUAAACUAUGCGCGUUAGGUGUAUCGGUGACCACGAGUCACCGAGGUGCCGAAGGGAAACCGUGAAACGUGCCGCCUGGGAAGUACGGUCGCAAGGCUGAAACUUAAAGGAAUUGGCGGGGAGCACCACAACGGGUGGAGCCUGCGGUUUAAUUGGACUCAACGCCGGGAAGCUCACCGGAUAGGACAGCAGAAUGAUUGCCGGGCUGAAGACCCUGCAUGACUAGCUG
rnacentral:rRNA from 1 species